rnacentral:rRNA from 1 species
CGUGUAGGCUGCUCGGAAAGUCGGAUGUGAAAGCCCUGGGCUCAACCUAGGAAGUGCAUUCGAAACUUCUGAGCUUGAGUAUCGGAGAGGAAGGCGGAAUUCUCGGUGUAGAGGUGAAAUUCGUAGAUAUCGAGAGGAACACCGGUGGCGAAGGCGGCCUUCUGGACGAUUACUGACGCUGAGACGCGAAAGCGUGGGGAGCAAACA